rnacentral:misc_RNA from 1 species
GAUCACCUCCUUUCUAUGGAGUUUGGUUUCUAAUAAGAAACCAAGACAACAAGAAAAAUUAGAUGGAUGAUUUAUUGGAUUACUUUUUUUGUUCUGUUUAGUUUUCAGGGAUUGUUUUCUCUGAGCAAUUGUUCUUUAAAAACUAGAUAAUAGACAUCUUUUAAAAAAAAUAAGAUAAUUUUUAUC